AUCCCUUCAACCACAAUAGAGAGAGAGAGAGGGCCAAUAGUGGCCAGUGUAAGGAGAUUGCGAACCCGCAAAAGCCAUGGAAGGUGGAUUAUGUGAGGUCGUCCUGCAAAUCAUGCAAGAAGACCAUCGAAAAGGAUGGCUUCAUGCCUGAAACUUCUCUCUCUAUCCCUCCAUCAUUCUUUUCCUCACCAAGAUCUUAAUGCUUAAAAUUUGGUUUCCCUCCCCUGUUUUGAUGCAAUUUAGGCUCAUAUGCUGCAAUGCCCAUUGCAAACUGAAGUUUUAUUUAGAUGUGUUUGCCUACUGCUUAAACCCCCAUUUGCGCUUACAAAUGGAAAGAUUAUUGCUUUGUUUCACGAAAGGCGCUGCUGUUACUUCUAUUUCUUUUGAUACUUCUCUGUUCGCAUUUAGUUGGUAGAAUUAUAGUUAUCCAGUGAUGUUAAUUUUCUGGGUGUGCUUGCCUUAUCUGAUGUGUUGUCCUACUGAUUACAUACUCAAGAAAACAAAUCAGAUCAAAAGGAUGACAUAGACUAGUUUUCUGGUUGGCAAGGAAUUGUCAUCUAUUUACUGUAUUGUGCUUUCAGCCUUGAUGAUGUUGAUGACAUAGACUUGCUUCGAGGGAAGAUCAGCAGAAAAUAAGAAAGUACAUUAAGGAUGAAUAUGGCAUUCAAGUCUCUCAGGUUUCUCAUGCUACUUGCAAGUGCUGCAACCUGUAGAUUACAAAAGAAGAGGUUAAACUGCAGUUCUUAUUGAAGCCUUUGAAGGCAAGGUUUCACUACAAGAGAUAUGGAAACACAAGUAAGUGAUUUAAGUGAUUUUUGCUCUUUCUGAGAGUCUGUCUUGUCUAGGGAACUCUUACCUGUUUUGUUUACUGCUUGGGGUUGUAAAGGUUUUGUUCUUGAAAAUAGGAAGCAUCCUAGAUUUCAUGAGCCCACUAUAGUUGGAUUUCCAUUAAAACUCUGUAUUGGGUAAUUGUAUAGCACAUUUCUCUUAUGUGCUGGUCAAAAGAGAAAUUUAAGCAAAAUAAUAAAUUUUCCAUC